AUUGAACGCUGGCGGCAGGCCUAACACAUGCAAGUCGAGCGGAUGAAGGGAGCUUGCUCCUGGAUUCAGCGGCGGACGGGUGAGUAAUGCCUAGGAAUCUGCCUGGUAGUGGGGGAUAACGUCCGGAAACGGGCGCUAAUAUCGCAUACGUCAUGAGGGAGAAAGUGGGGGAUCUUCGGACCUCACGCUAUUAGAUGAGCCUAGGUCGGAUUAGCUAGUUGGUGGGGUAAAGGCCUACCAAGGCGACGAUCCGUAACUGAUCUGAGAGGAUGAUCAGUCACACUGGAACUGAGACACGGUCCAGACUCCUACGGGAGGCAGCAGUGGGGAAUAUUGGACAAUGGGCGAAAGCCUGAUCCAGCCAUGCCGCGUGUGUGAAGAAGGUCUUCGGAUUGUAAAGCACUUUAAGUUGGGAAGAAGGGCAGUAAGUUAAUACCUUGCUGUUUUGACGUUACCAACAGAAUAAGCACCGGCUAACUUCGUG
rnacentral:rRNA from 1 species